UUUUAGCUACUCUUUACACUGUUGGUAUGGCUGUGCUCACAAUGUUAGCUGAACGUUUGGGAGCACCGGAUAGCUGGAGAUCUGACCGACAGGUAUCAGGGGAGGUCACUGUAACACAUCUUCAAGAUAUCCAGUUGGUUCUUCUUCGACCCAAGUUACUCAUGAAUGUCAAUGGCGUGAGUGUGGCAAAAGCAGGUGAGACGCAUUGUAUCGUGUUAUAAUAACACUAUUACUUUUCCACCCGCCUCAUUUUAAUCCUCGGAUAUCUGAAUUUAUUUCUUCUUUAUUUGAAUUUUUUUUUUCCAGCUAGCAAAUAUUUAAUUUCACCCGAACAUAUUCUCUUGAUUCACGAUGAGCUUGACAAACCACUUGGGAAGUUCGGCAUUAAACAUGGUGGAAGUGCAAGGUGAGUGCAAACUUUUCAUCAGAUUUUUGUAUUGAUAACUUUUCUUUUCUCUUAAUAUGUAUGUUGAGUUAAUUGGUGAUUGAUCCAUAUUUUCUUCAUCUCAGGGGUCACAAUGGCGUAAGAUCAUGUGUAGACUGCCUUCACACUGAUGUGAUGUCACGGCUGUGUGUUGGUAUUGGGCGACCAUUGGGUAAAACGCCUGUCGACCGUUAUGUUUUGGGACGUUUUUCACAAGAGGAACAAAAUGUUUUAGACACUGUCAUGAAGCAG